GGGUCUUCAGUUCUAUUCCAAUGGUUCUCAGGCCUGUUCCUGUGCCAAUACCAAGCUGUUUGCUGUUUUUAUUCCUAUAGCUUUCUAAUAGAGUUUGACGUUUGGUAUUGGUAUUCCUCCAGCGCAGUUCUUUCUGCUAGGAUUCUUUUUGCUAUUCGGGGUCUUUUAUUGUUGCAUAUGAAUUUCUGGAUUGCUUCUUCUAUUUCAUUAAAGAAUGAAUACCCAAAGAAACA